AGAAGUGUAGCUUAAUGGCAGAGCAGCGGUCUUAUAAACCGUAACGACAGAUAAUCGGCUGGUGAGAGUUCGAAUCUCUCCACUUCUACCA
rnacentral:tRNA from 1 species